rnacentral:rRNA from 1 species
UGGGGAAUCUUCCGCAAUGGACGAAAGUCUGACGGAGCAACGCCGCGUGUACGAAGAAGGCCUUCGGGUUGUAAAGUACUGUUGUUAGGGAAGAAGAGGUAAUGUGUGAAAAAUGCAUUACUGUGACGGUACCUAACGAGGAAGCCCCGGCUAACUACGUGCCAGCAGCCGCGGUAAUACGUAGGGGGCGAGCGUUGUCCGGAAUUAUUGGGCGUAAAGGGCGCGUAGGCGGCCGUUCAAGUCUGAUGUGAAAGUGCGGAGCUUAACUCCGUAAAGCAUUGGAAACUGGGCGGCUUGAGGACAGGAGAGGAAAGUGGAAUUCCUAGUGUAGCGGUGAAAUGCGUAGAUAUUAGGAGGAACACCAGUGGCGAAGGCGACUUUCUGGACUGUAACUGACGCUGAGGCGCGAAAGCGUGGGGAGCAAACAGG